rnacentral:rRNA from 1 species
GGCGGACGGGUGAGUAACGCGUAAGGAACUUGCCUCUUGGACUGGGACAACUGUUGGAAACGACAGCUAAUACCGGAUAUUAUGAGAUUCUCGCAUGAGAAAUUUAUGAAAGCUAUAUGCGCCAAGAGAGAGCCUUGCGUUCCAUUAGCUAGUUGGUGGGGUAACGGCCCACCAAGGCGACGAUGGAUAGCCGGCCUGAGAGGGUGAACGGCCACAAGGGGACUGAGACACGGCCCUUACUCCUACGGGAGGCAGCAGUGGGGAAUAUUGGACAAUGGGCCACAAGCCUGAUCCAGCAAUUCUGUGUGCACGAUGAAGGUCUUCGGAUUGUAAAGUGCUUUCAGUUGGGAAGAAGAAAGUGACGGUACCAACAGAAGAAGCGACGGCUAAAUACGUGCCAGCAGCCGCGGUAAUACGUAUGUCGCAAGCGUUAUCCGGAUUUAUUGGGCGUAAAGCGCGUCUAGGCGGAAAAAUAAGUCUGAUGUUAAAAUGCGGGGCUCAACUCCGUAUUGCGUUGGAAACUGUUUUUCUAGAGUACUGGAGAGGUGGGCGGAACUACAAGUGUAGAGGUGAAAUUCGUAGAUAUUUGUAGGAAUGCCGAUGGAGAAGUCAGCUCACUG